rnacentral:lncRNA from 1 species
GUGACUGAGGAAAAGGUGGUGGUAGCAUGUUGUCACUUUAAGUUGAUAAUGCAGUUUUUAUUUGCUUUUCCUAUCAGUGAUAAUUUUUCCUGUAGCAACAUUUCUCCCUUGCUCCUGGAAGUGAAGAUGACAGCAUUAGAAAGAGUUCCUUUUAAUUGCAGACUUAGUAAUCAAAGUCAAUUUAUGAAGAUUUCAGUAUUGUUUUCUAGGCCUUUUAGAGGUGGCUUUUACUUAAAGUUUAUAGUGAUUAUGUCCCAGACACAGUGCUAAACUAUAUGCAGGCACCGCUGGGUACUGAUUUCUCUGCUUUUCUUUAUAUUUCUAUCCAGCUUGCUGUGUAUCUUCUCCUGUCCUCAAGGAACGUAUUAACUCUUAAAGAAAAGGGGGGGAAUAAAAAGCCUAUACAGCACCAUGAGUAGAAAGUUUGAUAUAUGAUAAAAAAUAUAUAUUUGAAAAACACAUCAAACGAGAGAUGCAGAAUUCCUUUAGAAGAAUCAUUCAUGACAGGUGCGGGACAUUUGGCCCUGACAGAAGACACAACGAAUAACCCUUCAAGAUUUGCCUUCUUCCUCUUUUUGACUCUGGUAGGCUGGCUGAAAACGUGCGGAACCGAAAGUGAAGAGGGUAGAAGAGGAGCCACUUGCUCCUGUAGUUCCGUGUUUGGGAAAUACAAGUAUAAACAUUAAGAAAUGCUUCAACUUCAAUACAAAGUGCGGAAUUUUGGCCUUUGGAAUAUAAGGCCGUUUCUUGGAGGCCACUGAAGUGCAAUGGUCUUUAGUUAUUCACUGGCUGGAAGGUAAGACCUAUGUUUUGUCAAUUAAUGCAGCUCUCCAAGUACAAAUGUGUAGGCUAAGACAAGCUUACAUUUAAUAUACAUUUUCCCACAGCAUCCACUGAAUGUGUUCUUUAAACUUUUGAUGUUUUCUUAAGAAAUAACUUUAUCAAUUUUCCCCUGAAAUGAUCCGUCUCAUUUGCAGUUAUAAACC